GACGUAGGGCGCGAGCGUUGUCCGGAUUUAUUGGGCGUAAAGAGCUCGUAGGCGGCUUGUCGCGUCUUCCGUGAAAACCUGCAGCUCAACUGCAGGCUUGCGGUCGAUACGGGCAGGCUAGAGUUCGGUAGGGGAGACUGGAAUUCCUGGUGUGAGCGGUGAAAUGCGCAGAUAUCAGGAAGAACACCCGUGGCGAAGGCGGCUCUCUGGAACGCAACUGACGCUGAGACGCGAAAGCGUGGGGAGCAAACAGG
rnacentral:rRNA from 1 species